rnacentral:pre_miRNA from 1 species
UUAAGUAGUUGCGCCGAAGGUGAUGUUUUUGAAAUCUCCUCGGUCUGGCUGCUUUAUA